rnacentral:lncRNA from 1 species
CUUGAGUCACAAGAAUUUCAGACAUAUAAUUUUAGAAGCAGUCAAGUGAUAAUGGCAACAUUGUCAUUUAUAAGAAGACUAAGAAUAUACAUCAUCCGCUAGACUCUCUACAAACAUUGAUUACUUUGUGCCUACUUCAUACUAACAUUGCAAAUACUUAUUUAUAUUUAUUUUGUCACUGUAGGAGGCAGAAUUUCUAAAAUGGCACACUAAAGAUGUCCUCCCAAACUCCAGGCCCUUUGACUAUGAUGGUCCAUGGAGUCUAUUAUGUUGCAUAUCAUGCUUGAUUUUAAGAUAGAAGAUUGUCUGGGCAGGCAUAGAUAGAUAAUCUGAUCUAAUCACCGGCCCCUUCAAUGUAGAGUGUUUUCUCUGGGUGUAAAGUACUUUGUGGUAUUGACUAUUGAGAUUAUUGAGAGUUGGGGCUGCUUACUACAACAGUGGGUUAUCACUGCAUUGACAAAUGCAGUAGUUCAUGACAAGGAAAGGGUGAGAGCAAAACCUGGAAAAAGUGAUACAAUUACCUGGAAAAGUGAUACAAAUACCCUGUGGUCACUGAUGCAGUUGCCCAAGGCCUUGAACUGAUCCAAGUUGUCUUUCCCCACUCCUCACCUGGAGCAGAGGCCUGCAAAGGUGACCAUUCCCACUGUCUUCUUACGUGGUUAGGGUGUUGAUGCUCUGGCAAGCUGAGACUUCUUCCAUUCCCAGUCUACCUGAACCAUUCCAUGCCAAAAAUGUCUAGAUAGUAACUUGCCUAUAACCUGGGUUAAUACAAUUUUUUUUUUCAAUUUAUUGAGUUCUAUCCAUGGCAAUUUCAAAGCAAAAGAGUUAAAAUCUUGGGUUAAAAUUGCUAUCUUGAAAUGGAAUUCUUAUUGUAAGUUGAAGACUCUUCUAACUUAGUUAUACAAAGCUAUAUAAUUUUUUUAAUACUGGGAAUUGAACCCAGGGAUGCUUUACCACUGAGCUAUAUCCCCAGCCCUUUUUAUUUAUUUAUUCUGAGUCAGGGUUUUGCUAAGUUUUUGAGGGUCUACGUUGCUGAAGCUGGCCUUGAACUUGCAAUCCUUCUACUUAAGCCUCCAAAAUUGCUGGGAUUACAGGCAUGUACCAUUGUGCCCAGCUAGAUAUACAAAAUUAUACCAAAUGAAUGUUUGGAAUAUUUGAAGUAAGUGAUAAGAAUAAUUUAUUCAGAUGGAUUAAUAAAUGAAAAUAUUACCACGGGGUCAUAAUUAAAUAAUUUUAGUGAUACUAGGUUUAAUUAUUCUUAUAAGAGAUGUGAAUUUCUCAACACUGGGCCAGUCUAUAAAAACCAUUCCUUUAGAACAAAUCUAAUAAAUUAACAAUGAAAGUGGUAAAAAAUCAAUAAGAUUUGUAGUUCAUGACAGAAUAUUUUCAAGAGAACCCAGGUCUCAGUAAUGCUUA